ensembl:lncRNA
CUGUGGGAGACCAUGAACCCUCACGAAUAUCAGUGAAAACCAUGCCUGAUCUAUGCACGAGAAAGGCAUUCCUGAAUCCACAAGUUGCUUUUAUUUAUUUCUCUUUCAAAGUGCAAUAAAAUGUUGCUCGAGAGGGAGAGGUCUCGUAGGGCUGGGAGUAAGCCCCGCUGUACGCACUGAGGGCAGCAGUGGCUAUUUUCAUAGCGCUGUGAUGCUGAAGAGAGGUGUCAGCAUUGGGCACCGUGGAACCACCUCACCGCUGCCUGAAGUCGCAUCUGAAGUUUUCUUUGCACUUUAUUGCACAUGAGUUCUGCUCUUGGCUGCCGGUUCCUCCCUUCAGACUCCCAAAGCUCGGGGAUGCAGGCAGAAACCUCCCCCAUCUGUUCUGGAGUGAUCUGUGCAAUCUGCAAGCACAACCCUGCAGGAGACGAUGGAUGUCCCAGCAUGCUGCAGUUACUUCUCUUCGAUUACAUGGAUGGGGCAGGCAUGUGCCUUUUCUGUAUCUUUUCCUUCUAGAUUCUAGUGCAGUCCUGAUGCAUUUACCAUAAAUCCCUGGAAAUAUGGCAAAUCCAGCACAAAAUCUGUUGGACCCAAGAACUCAUUGGAAGCAACUUUCAUACAUGUGUACAGUCUUCUUUGUCAAGGUGCAAGAGCUACAUGAUUAACUGGAUGAAGAGGAAAUUUCUCAAUAAGUAGUGUCAGC